rnacentral:sRNA from 1 species
GCAACAACCGUGAACAGGAGUAGUAAGCCCGCUACACCAGAGAGCCGCCGGUCGGUGGGAGGUGGCAAAAAAGGCUGAACUCACCUGGGAGUUGCGUUGGUGAACAACCUGUGGUAUAGUAACCGGCGCCGGGAAAGCCCGUUAAAGCUUAAUCAAGCGGACAGACCGCAGCCAAGCCUUAUCAAAUGGGGAUGUAGCUCAGUUGGGAGAGCACGACACUGGCAGUGUCGGGGUCAGGGGUUCGAGCCCCCUCAUCUCCACCAUUUUUUUAUCAGGCUGGAUGCGAAUCUAACCUUUCCGGUUAUCUGUCAAGCAGGGUGGUACCACGCUAGGAAUUUUAGAAUCCUUUCGUCCCUGGC